UCCCCCAACCUGCCAACUACAGUCUACAAGCUCCUCCUCCAUGGCGUUUCAGAUUAAACAACACCGCCCCAUUGCUUCUGCCCCGCUUCCUUCGACCGCAUCUUUUCCCCAGACCGCUUCGCUCCGCGUCCUCGAGCACGUCUUCUCCUUCAUGCACUCCGACCAGGACCGCAACGCCAUCUCCUUGGUCUGCAAGUCGAACGUCGGUGCAGGAGGAGCAUUUUCAUCGGCAACUGCUAUGCUUUCAGCCCUAUCAUGGUGGUCAAACGGUUCCACAAGUUGACAUCCAUUUCGCUCAAAGGAAAGCCUCACUUCGCCAACUUCAAUUUGGUUAUGCCUGCCUUGGAUCGAAUAUGGCUGUUGCCUGUCCGUGGCUAGAGGAGAUCAAUCAGGCUCAAGAGGAUGGUCAUAAGGGACGAGAGCUUGGAGCUAAUUUCUAAAAAGUUCAAUCACUUCCAAGUCUCGGCGUUAUCCUCGUGAUUGCAGCCAGGCUAUGCUCUACUUACUAGUGGUGGAUGUUCCAAGGGAUACAAACAUAACUGGUGGUCGCUCUCCAUUUCUGACAAGUGGUAUCAGAGUUAGGUGUUUUGCUUGGGACUUGAAAGCUCGUACUCACAUGUUCAAAGUCCAAAAUGAGAUUUCUAUGCAUCACAUUGUUUGAAGCCCAAAAAUUAAGCUAGCCUUGAUUGUGCACAAACAUAAACUUGGUGUAUUGUUGGAAGUGCAAGAAAUAAACUUAGAGUGUUUUUUUUGCACAAAUUUAAAGGUAAAAAUGGGACUUAUGUGCAUCACAUUGUUUAAAGCCCAAAAAUUGGACUAGCCCUAAUUUUGGGUGGUCACUCUCUAAUGGGUUUCGUCUGUGACUUAUGUCUAACCUUUUGAAAUCUAUAUGAGAGCCUGGUUUACUUUGGGACUUGAAAAGCUCAUAAUGAGACUAGCCUUGAUUUUGGGUGGUCACUCUCUAUCAAGUUUUGCCCAAGACUUAAAAGCUUCCAUUGUGUACAUGUUUGAAGCUCAAAAUGAGACUUAUGUCUAACACCUUUUGAAAUUCAAAAAUUAGGCUAACCUUAAUAGUAGGAACUUGGUGUUAGGGCUGUCUUUAAUAUUGUGAGUUUUGUCUAUUUGUUCUCUCUUCUUGUUUUUGAGUGGUCGCUCUCCAUUUCUAAUAAGUGAUAUGAAAACUUAGUUUACUUUAAGACUUGAAAAGCUCAUAUUAUGCACACAUUUGAGGCCCAAAAUAAGACUUGUGCAUCAUACCGUUUGAAGCUUGAAAAUUGGGCUAGCCCAAAUUGCAGGAACAAAAACUUGGUGUUUAUGACAUCUUCGAUAUUGAAAGCUUGUGAGCUCACACUUUACUUAUUUGUUCUCUCUCUCCUUAUUUUCGGGUAGUCACUUCUCAAUACUAACAAGUGGUAUGAAAGUUAGGUUUCAUCCGAAACUUAAAGUUUAUAGUACACCCAAAA